rnacentral:lncRNA from 1 species
AAAUCAAAGCAUAGAAAACAUCUCAUUGUGGAAAGCUGAAUGUAGUAUGUCAGUGUGUCCUAGAGUAUGUCCCUCUGUCCCCACCUGUUCACUUGCACAAAUGUUCAUUGCAAUGAGUCAUUACAAGUCUGGUUCAAGAUCUUUGGCUUCUGUGACACCAUCAAUAUUAGAUCCUCAUCAGGACUCCUCCUGGUUAUUCUGUUGUUGUCUGAUGUCAUGGGGAUCCUGCAGCUUUGGAACAGCAGGACUGGCACUUACACAUGUCAACUACUUUCAGAUGAUAUAGAUUUUGGGGUGGGACAAUUCAGAAUCCCAGAUCUGGGCCUGGGUGGUAGCAGAGCUGGUCAGCCCGCCACUGGCUGUCCCUUAUCCGCACCACCAGGGCCAGCUCACCUGCACUUACAUCUCCAGAGCCAGCUCCUCUGUGCUGCCCAGUCAAGGUGUGGGAGCCACUCUCCCAAGUGCUGCUGUCUGUGAGGGGCUGGGCCAGCUCUCCUGCUCUCUCACCCUUGGGGCUGUCUCACCAUGCCUUUGUCAGCAGAGUUGGCUCCACUUUUUAUUUUCUCCUAUUUUUAUAUAAAAAGGACAGUAGUCCUUUUUAAAAAAAUGCACUUUACAAUUGAAAAAUUUAUUUAGAGUGUGUGAAUAGGUGUGUGUGCCAUGCACAUGUGUGUAGGUCAGAGAACACCUUGACAGUGAGCACCUUUCCUUGCUAAGACAUCUCACUGACCCCACAAUUACCUUUCAAAGACCCACUCUUUAAAUACAAAUACAA